rnacentral:rRNA from 1 species
GACGGAGGAUGCAAGUGUUAUCCGGAAUCACUGGGCGUAAAGCGUCUGUAGGUGGUUUAAUAAGUCAACUGUUAAAUCUUGAGGCUCAACCUCAAAAUCGCAGUCGAAACUAUUAGGCUAGAGUAUAGUAGGGGUAAAGGGAAUUUCCAGUGGAGCGGUGAAAUGCGUAGAGAUUGGAAAGAACACCGAUGGCGAAGGCACUUUACUGGGCUAUUACUAACACUCAGAGACAAAAGCUAGGGUAGCAAAUGGG